rnacentral:rRNA from 1 species
AGGAAUAUUGGUCAAUGGGCGAGAGCCUGAACCAGCCAAGUAGCGUGAAGGAUGACUGCCCUAUGGGUUGUAAACUUCUUUUAUAAAGGAAUAAAGUCGGGUAUGGAUACCCGUUUGCAUGUACUUUAUGAAUAAGGAUCGGCUAACUCCGUGCCAGCAGCCGCGGUAAUACGGAGGAUCCGAGCGUUAUCCGGAUUUAUUGGGUUUAAAGGGAGCGUAGAUGGAUAUUUAAGUCAGUUGUGAAAGUUUGCGGCUCAACCGUAAAAUUGCAGUUGAUACUGGAUAUCUUGAGUGCAGUUGAGGCAGGCGGAAUUCGUGGUGUAGCGGUGAAAUGCUUAGAUAUCACGAAGAACUCCGAUUGCGAAGGCAGCCUGCUAAGCUGCAACUGACAUUGAGGCUCGAAAGUGUGGGUAUCAAACAGGAUUAGAUACCCUGGUAGUCCACACGGUAAACGAUGAAUACUCGCUGUUUGCGAUAUACUGCAAGCGGCCAAGCGAAAGCGUUAAGUAUUCCACCUGGGGAGUACGCCGGCAACGGUGAAACUCAAAGGAAUUGACGGGGGCCCGCACAAGCGGAGGAACAUGUGGUUUAAUUCGAUGAUACGCGAGGAACCUUACCCGGGCUUAAAUUGCAGAUGAAUUACGGUGAAAGCCGUAAGCCGCAAGGCAUCUGUGAAGGUGCUGCAUGGUUGUCGUCAGCUCGUGCCGUGAGGUGUCGGCUUAAGUGCCAUAACGAGCGCAACCCUUGUUGUCAGUUACUAACAGGUUUUGCUGAGGACUCUGACAAGACUGCCAUCGUAAGAUGUGAGGAAGGUGGGGAUGACGUCAAAUCAGCACGGCCCUUACGUCCGGGGCUACACACGUGUUACAAUGGGGGGUACAGAGGGCCGCUACCACGCGAGUGGAUGCCAAUCCCCAAAACCUCUCUCAGUUCGGACUGGAGUCUGCAACCCGACUCCACGAAGCUGGAUUCGCUAGUAAUCGCGCAUCAGCCACGGCGCGGUAAAUACGUUCCCG